AUUGAACGCUGGCGGCAGGCCUAACACAUGCAAGUCGAGCGGAUGAGUGGAGCUUGCUCCAUGAUUCAGCGGCGGACGGGUGAGUAAUGCCUAGGAAUCUGCCUGGUAGUGGGGGACAACGUUCCGAAAGGAACGCUAAUACCGCAUACGUCCUACGGGAGAAAGCAGGGGACCUUCGGGCCUUGCGCUAUCAGAUGAGCCUAGGUCGGAUUAGCUAGUUGGUGGGGUAAAGGCCUACCAAGGCGACGAUCCGUAACUGGUCUGAGAGGAUGAUCAGUCACACUGGAACUGAGACACGGUCCAGACUCCGACGGGAGGCAGCAGUGGGGAAUAUUGGACAAUGGGCGAAAGCCUGAUCCAGCCAUGCCGCGUGUGUGAAGAAGGUCUUCGGAUUGUAAAGCACUUUAAGUUGGGAGGAAGGGCAGUAAGUUAAUACCUUGCUGUUUUGACGUUACCAACAGAAUAAGCACCGGCUAACUUCGUGCCAGCGGCCGCAGUAAGAC
rnacentral:rRNA from 1 species